CUAAAGGCUGUUUUCAGAGCCAUCCACAUUUUCAUUAAAAAAAGCU
rfam:TPA: Bos taurus chromosome 23, whole genome shotgun sequence.